rnacentral:rRNA from 1 species
CUACGGGUCGCAGCAGUGGGGAAUAUUGCACAAUGGGCGCAAGCCUGAUGCAGCCAUGCCGCGUGUAUGAAGAAGGCCUUCGGGUUGUAAAGUACUUUCAGCGGGGAGGAAGGGAGUAAAGUUAAUACCUUUGCUCAUUGACGUUACCCGCGGAAGAGGCACCGGCCAACUCCGUGCCAGCAGCCGCGGUAAUACGGAGGGUGCAAGCGUUAAUCGGAAUUACUGGGCGUAAAGCGCACGCAGGCGGUUUGUUAAGUCAGAUGUGAAAUCCCCGGGCUCAACCUGGGAACUGCAUCUGAUACUGGCAAGCUUGAGUCUCGUAGAGGGGGGUAGAAUUCCAGGUGUAGCGGUGAAAUGCGUAGAGAUCUGGAGGAAUACCGGUGGCGAAGGCGGCCCCCUGGACGAAGACUGACGCUCAGGUGCGAAAGCGUGGGGAGCAAACAGGAUUAGAUACCCUAGUAGUC